rnacentral:rRNA from 1 species
AUUGAACGCUGGCGGCAGGCCUAACACAUGCCAGUCGAGCGGAUGAAGGGAGCUUGCUCCUGGAUUCAGCGGCGGACGGGUGAGUAAUGCCUAGGAAUCUGCCUGGUAGUGGGGGAUAACGUCCGGAAACGGGCGCUAAUACCGCAUACGUCCUGAGGGAGAAAGUGGGGGAUCUUCGGACCUCACGCUAUCAGAUGAGCCUAGGUCGGAUUAGCUAGUUGGUGGGGUAAAGGCCUACCAAGGCGACGAUCCGUAACUGGUCUGAGAGGAUGAUCAGUCACACUGGAACUGAGACACGGUCCAGACUCCUACGGGAGGCAGCAGUGGGGAAUAUUGGACAAUGGGCGAAAGCCUGAUCCAGCCAUGCCGCGUGUGUGAAGAAGGUCUUCGGAUUGUAAAGCACUUUAAGUUGGGAGGAAGGGCAGUAAGUUAAUACCUUGCUGUUUGGACGUUACCAACAGAAUAAGCACCGGCUAACUUAGU